rnacentral:lncRNA from 1 species
CUGUCACUGCUUAUUAUAUAGAAAAUAAUUAGCAAUUAAAUAAAUGUAUUCUUGCUUUUCAUUCUUUUGAUUAUCUCCAUUUGGCCAAUAAAUUUUCAAUACUAUUUAUCAAACUGUAACUACAUAUGGUAUUGGUAAUAUAGCUGUCCAAUUAUUGAAGGACCCUUUUCAUCCCAUUCUUAAUGAGAAAUUAUUUCAUAUUGGAUGUGCAUAUUAUAUUUUGAAUCUUUCUGUUCAAGUUGGAAGAGACAUGGUUCAAAAUAUAAUUGCAAAAAUUAGAAAUGCAGUAUCUUUUAUUCA